rnacentral:ncRNA from 1 species
UAAUAUUGCAGACGGAAACGGGCUGUAUACUCAUGCAACCGAAUUGACGUUUAAGCGAACUGUAAGCUCGCCGGCCAUGAG